GUAGUUCAGCGGAAGAGCAGCUGCCUGGCGUGCAGAAGGUCCCAGGUUUAAUUUCUGGAACU
rnacentral:tRNA from 1 species